AUUGAACGCUGGCGGCAUGCCUUACACAUGCAAGUCGAGCGGCAGCGCGGGGGCAACCCUGGCGGCGAGCGGCGGACGGGUGAGUAAUGCAUCGGAGCGUGUCCUCUUGUGGGGGAUAACCAGUCGAAAGAUUGGCUAAUACCGCAUGAGCUCGCAAGAGGAAAGCAGGGGACCCGCAAGGGCCUUGCGCGAGAGGAGCGGCCGAUGCCCGAUUAGCUUGUUGGUGAGGUAAUGGCUCACCAAGGCGACGAUCAGUAGCUGGUCUGAGAGGAUGAUCAGCCACAUUGGGACUGAGACACGGCCCAAACUCCUACGGGAGGCAGCAGUGGGGAAUAUUGGACAAUGGGCGAAAGCCUGAUCCAGCCAUGCCGCGUGAGUGAUGAAGGCCUUAGGGUUGUAAA
rnacentral:rRNA from 1 species